UUUUCCUUCUGACCAAAGUGUGGAGUAUUUUCUGAUGAAAGGGGUGCCGAACUACAUUGGUAGUGUAGAUAUAAGUCCGGAGUCAUGCUACCUACAUCAGGAGCUUCUAAACUUGAUGCUAGUCCUUUUGUCGACUCAGUUAUGUUCUGGACCAUCUCCAGAACCAAAAGAUGUGCAUCCUUUCAUUGAUGCGGCUAUGCUUCAGGAUGCUUCCAUAGUAGCUUCCGUUGUUCAAAAGUUGCUACUUAAUUUUGUAAGACGGCCACAAAUUCCUUC